UUCUCCACCACUAAGCAAUUCUAGUACUCUGUGUUAGCUUCACAUCUAAAAUCUUAUUUCUCCUUCUGGUCUCAAACUUAAUCAUGAUUCUAUAUCUAACAAACUCACAUCCUAAGCACACCUAUUGGUGCCUCUCUCUUAGUCUGGCAUCCUCUGUCUGAUCCAGCUCCAGCUGUGGUUUACCAGCAUACUCCAAGCUUGAUGGUCCAGCCUGGUUCCAUUUCUUGUUCCAGAUCACUGUCUUUCUGCUCAGCUGAAACUGUCUGGGCCCAAGUCAUCAUAUUUGGCUGAAGACCUCUUCUGAUGUUAGUCCUGCAAAUUAGAGCUGGUUUGGAAACUGUCCACGGCUUGUGAUUCUGACAGCUGAGUUGUUUAUGAGGGGGACAUGAUUUGAAUUCCCACAUCUCCCUUCAUCAGCAAAUAGCUUCUACUUUUAAAAGAAGAAAUAACUGAUUAUUGAAGAGAAAAUCCCCAGUUACUAUGAGACUAACAGGAAAGUGCUAAGGAAGAAAGGAAAAUCAAGCAAAGCCAGCAGAAGUGAGAUCCAAAUUGCCAGUCAAACUUCAUCAACUCUGAGGGCAGAAGGGACUUGGAAAACUCCUGAUCAUAAGAAAUAAUUUUUAGACCACAAAGGAAGAGUUGUUCAUAUGCUAAAUGCAAGAAGACCUGUUCCUGGAGCAAAAUUGCAUGAAGGAAUGGUGCAUAUUUCCUGGAGCACUGAUUCAGGCACAAAGCAGACAGCAGACAGGUCACACUAUCAUCCUCAGAGUUCUUUGGUGAUGUGUUGCUUGAUCUCGAUCAGAACUUUUCUAUUGUGCCACAUGAGACAGUACAGGUGACAAAGACCUCAAGCUCUGUUUUGUCAGAUCAUAUUAAUUUCCCAAUUUGCUUAUGCUACAAAAAUAUUGAAAUAUUUAUUUAUCUGCCUUACAACUGCCAAAAUAAUCUGCUAUUGCUGCUUAUCAGCAAUUUAAAACCUUGCUGUGUGUUUGGGAUAUCUCUUCAUCCCAGGAAUAUCUGAGAAUUAUUCUUUACACAAGGUGUCAUAUAUAUAUUCAAAGGAAUUUCCCUCCAAUUUGUAUUUUGUACAUUUUAUGAACAGAUCUUUCUACUUCACUUCAAGUUUCGAAAGUCCUAAAAACAAUGAUAAUUUUUUUUUUCUAAAUCUGAAAAAAGAAUUUUACUAAGAUAAAAGCAUUUUAAUUUCUAUACCUAGUCUCUGUUUAAUCACCACUGUCACUUCCUGCUUCAUUCCUGGCUGGUUUCCGUCACUAACACACAAUUCCUUGAAUUUUUCCUUCUUUAAGUCUUUUUGUUUCUCACUGUGAUAUUUUAAGCCACAAUUUCUAUUUAAAACACUAGUUGUCAUGUGCUAAAUCCACAAAAUCAUGUUUAAAAUGUCAAUAACUUCUUUAAAGGGGUCGACUUCUAUCACAAAGGCAUUGGGGUGAGUAGUACUGCUAAUAGAAAUUCACAUAGAAAUUGUAUUGUCUUCCAGCCCUGUGUGGAGCACUGGGUAUUGACUUCACCUGCAAGAAAAUUUGAUGGAAACCAGAGACAGUUUGUGCUUCCUAGCAUAACCUGGCAGCCUAAGUGUUGGUAUUUCAUGGUGGAGCGACGUGAAACCACUUCAUCCUGUCUAAUGGGACACAGCAUAGGAAUCAAAUGUGUUAGUAAGAAUGCUUGUUCACAAGCACAGUGGUUGCCAGCUAGCUAAAUCUGGGGAAAAGAAAAGAACUGCCUACUUGCUGUGGAAAAAAAUAAUACUGCUCCAUCUGUUCCCACUUUCCCACGCCUUCUCCGCUUAGGAGAGAGAGACCUGUGACAGUUGUUCUGCCUUGUGGAAAGAAAACUGUGAUGCCGUUCCUCACGUGUUGGUGGAGCAGGGAACCCAAUGUUGUAUGUAAACGAGUCUUCCCUCUCUGGUGCCCUAGGAGUCAACAGAUCCUUUCCCCAGAAGAAAAGCACAUUCCUUUGCCUAGGUUUGUUCCAAACACAAUGGAGAGGUAGUUGAACUUUCCGGCAGAGGCUGGAAGAAAAGUGAUAGUUCCUGACACUGAGACAUGGAAAAGGACACCCCAAAUUGUCCUUUCUCCAGAUCCUAUCUAGCCUCCUUCCCCAACUGGAAGAAUGAAAAGCUUCAGUCUUCUGGCAUGUCCUCCUUAGAGCCUCCUUGCAGAUCCUCUGAUUUUAGGGUUUUCUUUUUUCCAGAAGUCAGGGAGGGGACUGCCACCUGCUAUUGGACAUAUUUCUGUGGUUCUAAUAAGAAGCUUUUUUUGUGAUGGUUGUUGGCUCAAUAGCUCUGGAGAAAAUAGAGCUGGAAAGUCAAGCACAGGAAUGCAAGAUAGAUAUCAUUCUGCCAGCUGGUGGAGGAGAGGUGGGGACAGGUGACUAAGAAGGACUGGUUUAUCAAAGAAAAUCCAGGGCUCAGUUAAAAGAGAGAGGCAAGAGAGAGGUAAAGGGACUGACAGUUGUGGUUUUCUGAUUAGAAAAGGAUACAGUAGAAUGAACAGGAAACAGGAAGAGAGGACAGGCUGUGAAUAAAACAACUGAAGGCAGGAAAAAAAGGGAAAGGACAGAUGUAUUGUGUGCUAGGGAUUGGCCAGGAUUAGAAAAAUCAAGAGCCAAGAGACAACAAAGGUGGUGCCCAAUUUUUAAGAAGGAAGGAGAGGAAUAGCAUUAAAAAAGGGGAAUUUGAAAAGGUAAAAUUUGUGGUGGUGAUGGAAGAGGGAGUGGGGAGAAAUAUUAGAAAAAAGACAUGGAAAAAGAAAGGAAGAACACUCCAUAUUUUACCCUGGCUUUAAUAUCUCAGUAAUUACAAUUGGGUAGUAGUAAUUUGGAGGCCUUUUCAUUUAGAGUGGAAUAUGUCAAUGAAGGACAAAUUAAACAUCUGAUAUCUGGAAAUAUUGCAAGUGGUGAAUUAAAAAGUUAAAUACAACCUCCAUGGGUUUUCACUUGUAUUACCACACCAAUUAUACAGAUAUUUCUAUUCAUAAAACACACUUGUGUAAGCAUUACCAUCAUAAAUGACCCAUUCUUGGAAGAUGACAAAGAAUACAUUGUAAGGGCUUUAUAAAACAAUUGUAACAGGUGAAAAACUUCUGCAUUCCUUUCUUGUUAUGUCUUAAGCACUUCUGGGAACAAGAAAGGUACUGAGUUCCUUAUAUCCUUAACCACUGCCAUGCAAAUUUGAGCCUGACAAACUAGCUAGACCUCAGCUAAGCUAAGGGAAAAUAAAGUCCUCAUUGUUAAGCCAGAAGAAAAAACUUGCAGCUGCUGUACACGUAGGUAAAUACAUGGAAAAUGGAGAUGAUUAUAUGCACCAUGAAAACUGCUAGUUUACGCAUCCUACCAUUUCUAGGUCACAUCAAACUGCACAUGGUGUGAAGAAGUGCAGAUUUCAAUUUAGGUAAUGUAUAUGCAAUUGGAGUAGAGCAGGGGACCAUGACCAUGACAAUCUAUCUCCUGCAGAUUAAUGUCUGGGGCAGGCAGGUAUGUCAUAAACUAUAGCUUAAUAUGGAAAACCUCUCAGUUUUCCCCUCAUUUUCUCUAAUGCAUUGUGUGUGCUUCUAAGAGAUUCACAGUAGAUGUAGGGCUAUUGCUUUUAAAUGUUGCCUCUGACCCAGAUAAUGUCAAAAUGUCUGAAUACGCUAUGGUCUUUUAAGAAAGAGCAUCUCUAAUGUAAUGCAAAUGCACAUUGUGGGGAAAUUCCAGCUGAGAAAAUGAGGCCUUAUAUUUCUAAAACUAUAUACAUGUCAAUAGCCCAUUAUUCUUAAGUUUUAGAUGUAAUUGCAGCCCAUCUUGGAAUGAAUUCCUGAAAUAAUAAAAUAC